AUUGAACGCUGGCGGCAGGCCUAACACAUGCAAGUCGAACGGUAACAGGAAGAAGCUUGCUUCUUUGCUGACGAGUGGCGGACGGGUGAGUAAUGUCUGGGAAACUGCCUGAUGGAGGGGGAUAACUACUGGAAACGGUAGCUAAUACCGCAUAACGUCGCAAGACCAAAGAGGGGGACCUUCGGGCCUCUUGCCAUCGGAUGUGCCCAGAUGGGAUUAGCUAGUAGGUGGGGUAACGGCUCACCUAGGCGACGAUCCCUAGCUGGUCUGAGAGGAUGACCAGCCACACUGGAACUGAGACACGGUCCAGACUCCUACGGGAGGCAGCAGUGGGGAAUAUUGCACAAUGGGCGCAAGCCUGAUGCAGCCAUGCCGCGUGUAUGAAGAAGGCCUUCGGGUUGUAAAGUACUUUCAGCGGGGAGGGAGGGAGUAAAGUUAAUACCUUGGCUCAUUGACGUUACCCGCAGAAGAAGCACCGGCUAACUCCGUG
rnacentral:rRNA from 1 species